GGGCGUUAUAAUGAUGAUGUAAUCGCGUAUCUCCUCACUAGUCUUGACCCUGACUAUGAUCCCUUCGUUACCUCGAUGACUACUAAGAGUGAAGCCCUCACGCUUGAUGAUGUGUUUGCAUAUCUAAUGGCGUUUAAAGC